AUGGCAGAAUGCUUCAAUAAGGUGCUCAAGGGUGUACGUGCAUUACCUGUGACGGCAAUAGUUCAAUACACAUUUGACAAGAUGAAUGGAUACUUUUUGAAGUAUUCAAUGGAGACGGAUAAGCAGAUUACUGGUGAGAACAAGGAUAAGCAUAAGUACUAUUUCCCACCAAAGGUUGAAGAAUGGUUGGACUUUCAAUCAUGAAAGGCAGACUCCCAAGAAGCUGUACUAUAUGACGACAACGAGUGGAAGUAUGAGGUGAAAGAGCCUGGAGGAACCACAAAUGAUGGCCACCAACACGGAGGCCGCGCUUUCAAGGUCUCCCUAACACGGUGUGAUUGCAGCUGCAUGAGGCCAUCGUUGCUUUAUCUCCCAUGCUCGCACUUGUUAAAUGCAGCCUGUGUUAGGAAUGUGGACGUCAAUCACCCUCUUACCGUGAGGGAGUCCGAGUUCUCAAUCAUGAUGGUAAAGAAUACAUGGGCUCCCCGGUUUCAGCCAUACUUGGACCAAUCAUAAUGGCCGGAGUAUCAUGGAUUUCAACUAUGGCCGGACCCG
rnacentral:rRNA from 1 species